rnacentral:rRNA from 1 species
GUAGUCAUACGCUCGUCUCAAAGAUUAAGCCAUGCAUGUCUAAGUAUAAGCAACUUAUACUGUGAAACUGCGAACGGCUCAUUAUAUCAGUUAUAGUUUAUUUGAUAAUGUUUUUUUUGAAACUACUUGGAUAAUAAUACAUGCACUUUAAGGCCCAACUUUCUUUCGGGGAAGAAGGGUUGUAUUUAUUAGAUAUAAACCAAUGCUCGUUUCGGCGAGGUUUUGUGGUGAAUCAUAAUAACUAAGCGAAUCGUAUGCCCUUGUGGUGACGAUGAAUCAUUCAAGUUUCUGCCCUAUCAGCUGUCGACGGUAGUGUAUUGGACUACCGUGGCGUCAACGGGUAACGUAGGAUCAGGGUUCGAUAACGGAGAGGGAGCAUGAGAAACGGCUACCACAUCUAAGGAAGGCAGCAGGCGCGUAAAUUACCCAAUCCUAAUACCACGGGGAGGUAGUGACAAAAAAUAACAAUGCGGGGCCUUUGGUCUUGCAAUUGGAAUGAGUACAAUUUAAAUCCCUUAACGAGGAUCAAUUGGAGGGCAAGUCUGGUGCCAGCAGCCGCGGUAAUUCCAGCUCCAAUAGCGUAUAUUAAUGUUGUUGCAGUUAAAAAGCUCGUAGUUGGAUUUCUGACAGGAGCGACCGGUCCGAGCAUUCGUGUUGUAUCUGGUUCGGCUUUGGCAUCCUCGUGGGGUACGUAACUGUGCUUGGUUGCAUGGUGCGGAAUUCACGACUUUUACUUUGAGGAAAUUAGAGUGUUCACGGCAGGCAUGAGCCUUGAAUACAUUAGCAUGGAAUAAUAUAUAGGACUUUGGUUUUAUUUGUUGGUUCUAGAACUAAAGUAAUGAUUAAUAGGGAUGUUGGGGGCGUUUGUAUUGAGAUGUCAGAGGUGAAAUUCUUAGAUUAUCUCAAGACAAACUUCUGCGAAAGCAUUCGCCUAGGAUGUUUUCAUCAAUCAAGAACGAAAGUUGGGGGAUCGAAGACGAUCAGAUACCGUCGUAGUCUCAACCAUAAACUAUGCCGACCAAGGAUUAGAAUGUUACAUUUACAUGACUUCCCCAGCACUUUGCGUGAAAACAGAGUCUUUGGGUUCCGGGGGGAGUAUGGUCGCAAGGCUGAAACUUAAAGGAAUUGACGGAAGGGCACCACCAGGCGUGGAGCCUGCGGCUUAAUUUGACUCAACACGGGGAAACUUACCAGGUCCAGACAGCGUAAGGAUUGACAGAUUGAGAGCUCUUUCUUGAUUCGUUGGGUGGUGGUGCAUGGCCGUUCUUAGUUGGUGGUGUGAAUUGUCUGGUUGAUUCCGUUAACGAACGAGACCUUCGCCUACUAAAUAGUUACACGUAACUUCGGUUACGCGGGCAACUUCUUAGAGGGACUUUGUGUGUCUAACGCAAGGAAGUUUGAGGCAAUAACAGGUCUGUGAUGCCCUUAGAUGUUCUGGGCUGCACGCGCGCUACACUGAUGCGCUCAACGAGUUUAUGACCUUGCCCGGAAGGGUUGGGUAAUCUAUCCAAAACGCAUCGUGAUGGGGAUAGAUUAUUGCAAUUAUUAAUCUUCAACGAGGAAUUCCUAGUAAGCGCGAGUCAUCAGCUCGUGCUGAUUACGUCCCUGCCCU